UAGUGGCAGACGGGUGAGUAAUGCAUAGGAAUCUACCUAGUAGUAUGGGAUAGCCACUAGAAAUGGUGGGUAAUACUGUAUAAUCCCUGCGGGGGAAAGAUUUAUCGCUAUUAGAUGAGCCUAUGUUAGAUUAGCUAGUUGGUAGGGUAAAGGCCUACCAAGGCAGUGAUCUAUAGCUGGUCUGAGAGGAUGAUCAGCCACACUGGAACUGAGAUACGGUCCAGACUCCUACGGGAGGCAGCAGUGGGGAAUAUUGGACAAUGGGCGCAAGCCUGAUCCAGCUAUGCCGCGUGAGUGAGGAAGGCCUUAGGGUUGUAAAACUCUUUCAGUAGGGAAGAUAAUG
rnacentral:rRNA from 1 species